rnacentral:rRNA from 1 species
CCUACGGGUGGCUGCAGUGGGGAAUAUUGGGCAAUGGAGGAAACUCUGACCCAGCAACGCAGCGUGAAUGAUGACGGUCUUCUGGUUGUAAAGUUCUUUUCUUAGGGAAGUAGAAUGUGACGUUUCCUUAGUAAUAAGCCUCGGCUAUCUACGUGCCAGCAGCCGCGGUAAGACGUAGGAGGCGAGCGUUAUCCGGAAGGACUGGGCGUAAGGGGUGCGUAGGUGGUUUGGCAAGUUAGUCGCGUAACUCCAAGGCUCAACCUUGGAACUACUACUAACACUGUGGGACUUGAGUGCAGGAGGGGCAACCGGAAUUCCUAGUGUAGCGGUGGAAUGCGUAGAUAGUAGGAGGAACACCAGUGGCGAAGGCGGGUUGCUAGACUGUAACUGACACUGAGGCACGAAAGCGUGGGGAUCAAACAGGAUUAGAUACCCCUGUAGUC